GAAUUUUAUAAAUAUUUUAUUAAAAUUAAUUAAUAUUUAUAUUUAUUUGGUUGGGGGGACAUUUAAAUUAAAAUAACUUUAAAUUAAUUGAUAACAUUAAUUAAUGAAUAAUUAAAUUAUAUUAGUGAUAAAAAUUAUGUUUAUAAUAGAAUAAAUUACCUUAGGGAUAACAGCAUUAUAUUUUUGGAGAGUUCAUAUUGAUAAAAAUGUUUGU
rnacentral:rRNA from 1 species